AUUACCUUCCUUGAGACAACCAAGACCAAUGACUUCCCUGAAGCUUCUCUAGGCAUUGGCUGGAAAGAGCGAUUUAGUAUGGAAUAUGUAAUGAAUAGUCAAACUGGUUCCUCUUCGUUUCCUUGGUUGAUCACUGUGAAGAUUCUGGCCACCAGGAUUAAUCUGCUCUACUCAUCCGGCUUGGGCACUGUUUCUGAAGCUCUGCAAUGUGCAUUCAAAAAUGCAAUGUCCAUUCAAAAGCCUGAUUGCUCUGGGGGACCGUAUCGCAUCCAUACAGGCUGGUUCAAGCAUGUUGGAUCACGAGAGAUGAAGGGGCAUGAGAACUAAAAAUGUGUUGUGCAGGCGCUCAUUAACUAAAGAGCGUGGCUGGAGAGUCCGUGUCCCGAUAGCCAGCUUGCAAAGGCAGCAGUGCUAGGCUGGGGCUGGCUCCCGGAGCGCUUGAGGGGUCUGGACAAAUAUGCUCUGCACCUUUGCAAGAGAUGCCGCUGCGUCCUGGACUCCAGCCCAGUGCCGGGCUUUUGCGGAGGUGAGGAAAAUAUUGCUCAUUCAUAAAUGCAUGUUUUUAGGGGUAUUAUUCCUGAAUAUAAAGUAGAACCAGCUUUUAGAAGCAGAGGAUAAAGAUUUGGCUGGGAACCUCUGAGCUGGAGGACCAAUAACUCGGGAAUUGCUCUGAAGUGUUUGAUCUGUCUCAGGCCAGCAAAUGCUGAGCCAGCGCCUGCUGUUAAGUGGAAGUUAUUUUCUGCAUCCACCAGAGUCCUAUAAAACCAUUUCCUCUGGGACCCACAGGGACAGCUAGGGCCGCCCCCCCCAGUAUCAAUAUGUGAGUGCUAAGGGAAGGAGGACGUGCUGUGUGACAGAUUUAGGGGUAGCCUUGGGGGUCUAUCGCCUCUCUCCAAGCAGCUUUGCCAGAGUGUUGAAGUUGCCUCCUAUUCAUCUGGAGAAGAUUGGCGUGGUGUUUUAACAGGCAGAGCUGGUGCUCAUGAAGCCUGGGUCCUACACCCACCUCUGCUGCAGGCUCCUUGUGUCAGCACAAGGAGAUGAUGUAGUGCUGCAAGGGGGAGAAAGGGCUGUUUUCCCGGGCUGCGGGGGUAGGGGGGUAAAGCUGGUCCCUGCAUGCAUGGGGGAUGUCUUAAAUAAGCGGAGGCAGGACCACCUUUGUGUUCGUAUGAUGCCUGGCAUGGAGGACCCUGAGUCCCAGAUCUCCAGCUGAAGCCUUGCUGAUGAACGACCUGCACCAAGCCAGGCUUGGGGGCUCUUUCAGGACAAGUAUUUCUCUGGGGACAUCCUCCAUGCAAACCUCUUCCAGGGGCCUCCCAUGGCUUUCUGUUCCAGGUCUUCCAAUGAAAUGCUGUCAUCUCUGUAGCUGCACCGCCCUUUGUUUUAAUCAGCUCAUUUUCUGUGUGUGAUCAGGGGAACCGACCUCGCACAGAUAGUGCAGACCGAGCGUCCUCCGAGGAUUUCUGUAGAUGCCUUGCAUUUCCAGAGUUGAGCUCCCUGUGCAUCCCCCCUCCUUGUGACAUCCCUCCCUCCUCCUCUCACUUGCUUCUUGGAAAUCUUCGUCACCUUUUUGAAGCGUAACAGUAUUUUCUCAGCAUCCUCUGGUUCCUCUGAGGAUCCCAAGCCUACACUGAAGCAUACUCAAUCCUGAAAGGUGCAAGCAUAAGGGUUCUGCUCAGAAAGUCCCACCAUCUUCCAGAUGAUAACCCUGGAGGCCAGCAGGUGGACGUUCAUGGUGUACAUUUUCUUCAAGAGGCGGGUGCUUUGGCAGUAAGGAGGUGAAGGAGUGAUGGGAAAGGUGACAGCCCCACCUGCCAAAUGAUGCCUUUCAGCUCUUGCCUUUGCCUGAGCCAAUUAUUUUGUUUGCCCUGGAAGUCCAUUUGCAAAGCCUGAAGGAAAGAAAAACAACCUUCUCCCCCUCUCUGCCCCACCACCUGAGUGCUAAAGCAGACCCCGUGAGGUGAAGCACGGGGAGGCGUAAGUGGAAGAAGAGCUGGCAGGAGAUCUUGUUCUCCGGUUGUGCCUGGGGGCUUUUCCCGUCGGAGCCCCUGGAAGGCCAGCAGGGAAAUGAUUCCAAUUCCAGGCUUUCCAGCUUCCACGCUCAUUUAACCCAAACCAUUUCCUACUCUCUGAGAGGGAAGCAGGGAUGAGGUUUGCAGAUUCGAAGUGGGGGGAGGAACUGAAAAUGAUAUCAGCAGUUUUACAGCCAUUUCUUUUCUUGGCAGGACAUGAGGGAAAACGUCUCCCCGCCUCUAGGACAGAAGGUGGAGGAAUGCAAAUGCUGAAACAUUUUUCAGUUUGCCCUUAUUAUCUUUCCUCCCCCAGCAGUUUUAUUAGGGUUCAUAAAUUCACCCUCAGAGCACGUAUUCCCCCAUGCCUUUUAACCCUCUGUGGCCUCAGAGGUCACUCAUCCUGAAAGACUGCUGGCUGUCCAAGAAAAGCCACCUUUCCCCAUCAAUGCUGACUCUGAAAGGCAAGCAACCACAUGGUGUCAUCUCCAUCUAGAGAGAACAGAAAUCAGUGGGAAAAAGCAUGUCUGAGGCAAAUGUUUAAAUCGAGCCAUAUUUUCCUGGUUGCUUAUGUCUCAUCUCCUGGUGUGCUCUUCUGCAAACACCUUGCUCAAGCUAUGCCCACUAAGCAGAGGCAGCUGGUAGGGAGCCCAGAGGACGCAGUGCAUGGCUGUAGUCACCAAACCAUUCCCACUGGAGAGUGCUGUUCCAUUCGCUGGUGGCAGGGAUCCUGCCUUUCAGGUUCAGAUCCUCCCUGCGAGGAGGCUAGCUGCCCUUCCUCUGCUUCUAGGCAUCAAAACAAGACCCUCGCAACAAAGGCUUGGGCUCCCCUUUCCCCCCUCACCUGAACCUGCUGGCUGCAGCACAUCCUUUGCUUUAAAACCUCUGCGUGACAUGUCAGAUCCUCUUCUCAGAAGUGCCACUAGCUCCCAGUGCAACCUUCCGUGGCUAACUUAGCUGGAGCCAGUUUUCAAUGAAAAGAAAGGAAAAAAAUAAAAAUAAAAGGAGCAAUAGCUGCCUUGCUGCUGCCUUUGCUCUGAUGUAUCCAUUUACAUCUGCAGCACUAGGAGAGAGGGAUAUCUCUGUGCUUUUCCAGUACUGUGUGCAAGGAGAGCUUGUGGCACAAGUGUAAUAUAAAUAAAAAACCUAAUAAUGCAGUGAAAUGGGCAGGUGAAGAUAUGACGGAGGAAUAUGAUAUUGUCUCAGAAGCGUUUCAGCGCAGUAGCUUCGGCGCUGUGCUCCCCCAGCACGGCAGGAGAGCAGCGGAAAAUUCCUCCAUCCCAGCACGGCACCACUGCCUGACUCCCUCUUACAAUGAGAAGCCAGAGGUAAUAGUAACCCUUUUGGCAAGAACAAUUUCUUCACAGCAAGCCAAAAUAUAUCCAGUAAUACAGAAGGGUCCCAUAAAGCGCAGCGUGGUAGGGACCUGUUAAACCAAUAACCUCUGCUGGGCUGGUGUGCGGGUUUGCCUAGCAGCCCACAGCUCUUUUGGAGAGGUAUUUAAUGAGGUAUUUUGUAGCUAGUGUUUGCUAAACGAUCAUCUUCUGGUGUCAAGGUCUCCAUUUUCCACGCAAGCUUUGCUAAAACUGCAACAAUUUUAUUAUUUUUUUUUGUGCUGACAUAAUAUUUUUGUUGUAGUUCCCAAUCCAGAGUUGAGUGUGUUUUCCCGUGCAGGGGGACCAUCAGCUUCUCCGUGGAGAUGGGGGCCCAUGGCAUCCCUCGGCACCUGCUGAGCCGUUCACAGCACGGGGUCACCAACCCUGCUGUCCCUCCAGAUAUCCUUAGUGGUCCUCGAGAGGAUAGCUCAGGAUGUCUGUCUCCGACCCUUUUGUGAAAUCCAACCUCUGGACAACACUGCCAAUACGUGUGAUUGAGAAUCAUGGCACCAAAUUAGGGAGAAAUCCAUGAAGCAAAUGGAAAACUUCAUUUUUAAUGGGACAAAAUGUGUCAUCUGAUUGCAAGCAGGUUUUGCAAGCAGCGGGGAAGAUGCUGAGUGUAUCGUAUAUUCCAGCUCUAAAUGUGUCUUGAGUUCCCUCCACCAAACUGCUACAGGGUUUCUAUGGGCUCCAGUGUGGACUUAUCUGCUCUAGCUUUAAGUGCACUCAGCAGCCGGAAGAAGUCUAGCCAUGGAGCUCCACAAUGCCUAAUUUACUCUGUCAAGAAAGCUUCAGAGACUGCCAAGAACUCGAGAAAACGAGACUGCACUGAGCUCUGGGAGCUGGCAUCCCUGAGCUGCCUUGUUUGUGGAGACUCUAGGGACCUGUGCUCGGGUCUAUCUGUUGCACCGGCAUUUUGAGGGGUGGUGAAACCACAGUAUAUGGACAGUCAUUUCCUGAUGGGACAUUGGUGUGGGUAUCCUUGGUACCAGCCCCCACCAGCCUUUAAGGAGGUUUGGGAGAGCUCCUGAUGGUGGAACAGAAUUGCCCAGGAGAAUACUGCAAAGGUAGGAAGAAAAAGCGUGAUAUUUUGUUCAGAAAUAUCUCAUCUUGUCCCAUUAAGAGUUGCUGCAGCUAUGGCUUCCACCACAAAAAAUGGCUAUGCUUGGCCAUGUUAAAGUCUUCACCAAAGCUAUAUGAUUUGCAUCACCACAUCCAUGCAUUUAAAGCCACCUGUCAUGGAGAAAAGGCUCAUAUAAGUGAUGACGGGCUAGUCCCUGGGACAGCCAUUUCCCACUGUAAAUGCAGGACAGUGCAAGGCUCAACCACCAUGGUGGUUCCCGUGUCCAAGGUCAACUUCUGCACAAAUUUCUGCGUUUCUGGACAAAUGUGGUGGUGCUUUCCACAGUGCUUCUGGGGCUCUGUGCCAUGGUCAUGACUACGAAAAACCAACCUUGAUUUAGAUCUCAUGUUAAUCACAUUCUCUGUGUUACCUUUUUAAAUAUUUACUGCAGCCUAAUUAAAAUGAAAAUAUAUUCAGUAUACAUAUGGAUGAAAGAAUGCUCUUUGGUUUUUAAGUCAAUGCUUUAUCCUGUGACUUUGUAGUUACCAGCACUUUGAAAUAUAGGAAUGAUCUGAAUGGGAGGUUUUGACUUGUCCAGAAGUUGUUUAAUUUAAAAUCAAAGGGGUUUUUUUCUUCUUUUUUUUUUUUUGGUUUUAAUGUAGGUGAUUUUAAUCAAUGACACAAUAAUACUCAAUAUAAAACUACAACCUGGC